GUCACUUUGGCCGAGUGGUUAAGGCGGUGCCCUGCUAACAUAGUUUGUAAGGCAUUACGUUCGCGUGCGUAGGUUCGAAUCCUGCAGGUGACG
rfam:Isaria fumosorosea ARSEF 2679 scaffold_4, whole genome shotgun sequence.